AGAGUUUGAUCCUGGCUCAGGACGAACGCUGGCGGCGCGCCUAACACAUGCAAGUCGAACGAGCGAGAGAGAGCUUGCUUUCUCGAGCGAGUGGCGAACGGGUGAGUAACGCGUGAGGAACCUGCCUCAAAGAGGGGGACAACAGUUGGAAACGACUGCUAAUACCGCAUAAGCCCACGGCUCGGCAUCGAGCAGAGGGAAAAGGAGCAAUCCGCUUUGAGAUGGCCUCGCGUCCGAUUAGCUAGUUGGUGAGGUAACGGCCCACCAAGGCGACGAUCGGUAGCCGGACUGAGAGGUUGAACGGCCACAUUGGGACUGAGACACGGCCCAGACUCCUACGGGAGGCAGCAGUGGGGAAUAUUGCACAAUGGGGGAAACCCUGAUGCAGCGACGCCGCGUGGAGGAAGAAGGUCUUCGGAUUGUAAACUCCUGUUGUUGGGGAAGAUAAUGACGGUACCCAACAAGGAAGUGACGGCUAACUACGUGCCAGCAGCCGCGGUAAAACGUAGGUCACAAGCGUUGUCCGGAAUUACUGGGUGUAAAGGGAGCGCAGGCGGGAAGACAAGUUGGAAGUGAAAUCUAUGGGCUCAACCCAUAAACUGCUUUCAAAACUGUUUUUCUUGAGUAGUGCAGAGGUAGGCGGAAUUCCCGGUGUAGCGGUGGAAUGCGUAGAUAUCGGGAGGAACACCAGUGGCGAAGGCGGCCUACUGGGCACCAACUGACGCUGAGGCUCGAAAGUGUGGGUAGCAAACAGGAUUAGAUACCCUGGUAGUCCACACCGUAAACGAUGAUUACUAGGUGUUGGAGGAUUGACCCCUUCAGUGCCGCAGUUAACACAAUAAGUAAUCCACCUGGGGAGUACGACCGCAAGGUUGAAACUCAAAGGAAUUGACGGGGGCCCGCACAAGCAGUGGAGUAUGUGGUUUAAUUCGACGCAACGCGAAGAACCUUACCAAGUCUUGACAUCCCUUGACAGGCAUAGAAAUAUGUAAUCUCUUCGGAGCAAGGAGACAGGUGGUGCAUGGUUGUCGUCAGCUCGUGUCGUGAGAUGUUGGGUUAAGUC
rnacentral:rRNA from 1 species